CUGAAGCAACCCAGUAUCACGCUAAAGCGUGUAAUAGACACGCUGGUCCACUAGAGGAUGCGUGUCAAUGUCACGCUUUGCCUCCUCUAGGCGUGAAAAUGACACGCAUUUAUGAGGAUGAUAACCAAUAGGGGGCGAUAAUUCCCUCAAUGCCAACAACUUCAACAAGAGAAGCGAUGCAGUGAUAUUGCGUUCUCCGGAGUUCCAUGGGUCCGGUCAGUACCCACCACCCUUCCCUGUUAACAUCACCCACAGUUUAUACUUUUUCUCAGAAAACCAGCGGCUCUUUUAAGAGCCACUUCAAUAGACCCUUUUACAGCCCACGUGAUCAAAUAGCCUGCUUGGCAUUUUGGCAACGGAAGUGAUGUUAUUUCCCAGUGGUUCUAACGUGUAAGCAACUCAGAAAGUUUAUUAAAACGAUUUCCCCACAUCAAAACGUCUGGUUGUAGCAUUUGGUUGCACUAAUAUAAUAUACGUAUAUGUAUUUGGCCAUCUGCUAACGUAUUCUAUCCACUCCACUAUAGUACACGGAUCUGGUAACUGUGUAGAAGAUAAGUCAACUUUUUAAACUAACUCUCUCUGUCUGUGUUGCUUCACUGCUGAUUCUUGCCGUGCUUCCGUUGCCAAACUGCGUGCGCAUACAUUGCCAUGUCAUCAUUGUGUACAAACAGUAAAAGGGUCACUCAUUCACUCUUUCGCAAGCUUCUCUGUUUUCAAUUUUGUUGAAAUGGCUGCUGAGCAAGACAGAGGGAGAGCAGAGGAUGUUAUUUUCAUAGCAGACAUGCUUCUUGCUCAAAUCAAGGCAAAGGAACCCAAGGGCAAAGCAACAGCCAUUAAAGGGAGUACAUUUAAUGUCCGAUAGGUGAAGAAAAUGCUGAAGGACGUCCACUACUAAAAAGAAGCAGAAGUGAAGAGAUACAAAGCUUCAGCAACAGUCUGUUUAUUGCCUACAGUGAGACCUCCACAUUUCUGCACUUGUGAUCAUGCAAACAUCCAGUGUAGAGCACUUCACCUGCCCAGCAUGUAGACCCAACAAUGCUCGCUCUUUGUGCAGAUGGCAACAGAAAAACCUACAGAUUCCGUCAGUCAAAAGAAAGGAGCUUCAAGCAGCCACAAACGGAGAGUUCUUUUGGACAGAAAUUGCUUGCAAGUAUUGGCCAUACCUUGAGAAGGCAUCAGUCUCCAUGUUGGAACUCAGACCUUUACUGCAGAUGAGACCUUUCCUUUCUGUCAUGCAUGCCAAGGCUCAUUCAACCAAGUGUCAGGUGUCACACAUUUGUUAGAUAAUCUGGCAAAAAUCAGGAAGGUGCUGGUACAACUGCAGUUGUGGAGGUCGAAAUGGUCAACAGCAACCUGUCUCGUUGUGGCCUCACAACCAAGUAUCUGCCAGGAAUGACAUGCUAACUGUCCAAGCUAUUGGGUGGAACCAACGGAAGCAAGAAGGCCUUCAGCAUUAUCCAGCAGAUACGUCAAGAAAGGCUCAGAGACGGGAAGAUUUGAGCAGUGAACUGGGGUGUCCUGAGAACAUUGUGAAUCAGUGGGUACAAGAUGUCAGACAAAAGGCUACUGAUGGUUCCAGAUGUGAUGACCAACAUAACCUUCAGAAAUGAAUUGAACAAAUGUUUCUUAGUCUUCAUCGAAAAGCCAGCCUUUAUAAUCACACUGAAUCCAGCAACACCCUCACCAAGAAGAUUUUUUUGAUGUAUACAUGUCAAAAGUGCGCCUUCAAGAAACAAAGAUCAUUGUGAUGAGGGAGAUGAGACACCACUGCGCCGCACCUAUCUCAGAAGCCUGGCUAGGAACAUCGGGAAAAUGAUAUCAGAAAUGUCUUCAGGCAAAAACAGUGGCAGUUUAAGUGAAGAGUGUCAUCGCUGGCUACUGUGUCGUCUUCAGAAAAGGCUUGCAGAUGUAGAGAAGAAGUUCUAAGUUUGCUCAAGUUACAGCCAGGCUUUAGGACGGUGUUCUUCACUCCCAACCCUGGAGAGCCGGUGUCCUGCAGACUUUAGCUCCAACCUUAAUCAAACACACAAUGUCUUCAUGAUCUCUAGAAAAUCACAGGUACGUGUGUUUGAUUAAGGUUGGAGCUAAGCUCUGCAGGACACCGGCUCUCCAGGAUUGGGAGUGAAGAACACUGCUUUAGGACCUAAAGCUGUUUCUCUGCUGGAGGAUGAGCCCGAGGAGAUACUGGAGGACCACGAAGAGCUGGAUUAUGAGAGUUCAGAUGACAUUUUGGAUUUGGAACUCUGAACUGGUGUAUGCAUUUAGACUGUGUCACACUGAACUGCAGGUGUGUUUCAUGGAAAACAUAAAACUAUUUGGAAAUGUCAUGGAUGUCUGAUACAGUGCUUUUAUUUUAGACAACCGUUUCCUGCAGUGUGUAAGCACAUUAGCCUCAUAGAUUGAUGGGAAACUACUGUUAAAUACGUUUUUGUAUGAUAAUACAUAUCUCUGUUUACAAGCAGCAGGUUAGCUAUUAGGUUUCCCCUCCACCUCCGAUGUUUCACAGACUACUCUUACAGUCAACUGUGUUGCUACAACUUGCAAAUGCCACAAUCCUCUUGCAGUGGUUACUUCACCAAACUGUGCCCAUAUCAUCUUGUCAACAUAAUGACAUUUACUGUAGAAAAAUAUGUAACACAGGCAAAAUAGAUUUGCACAUGUUACUAUUAUUGUUAUAUAGUUUUAUACUGUACAAAGUUUUUUCAUAGUGAUUUGUGGAUACUUUUGGAUUGAACUAACUGUAGCCUAUGUCAUUGGAUGAAAUACUUUCCAUAAAUGACUGAUCAAUAGCAUACCCAUAUUUGAUGCAUGAGUUAAUACUGUUGUUACCUUUUCAAUGAAAGGAAAUGUUUUACAAUGCCAUGUUCUUGAGGUAAUUAUUAAACUGUUUCAUAUAUGUACCUGCAAAUUUGUUUGCUAAAGCGUUGUUUACUUUUCCCUGUUUUGAAAAUGAGAUGUAAAACUACUUUUUUUAUUUAUGCCUUAAAAAUAAAUGAUAGUUUAAUACAGGUUAAAUAAUAAAACUUGUUAAUAGUUAA